UACGAAGGGGGCGAGCGUUGUUCGGAAUUACUGGGCGUAAAGCGCGCGUAGGCGGAUUGGAAAGUUGGGGGUGAAAUCCCGGGGCUCAACCCCGGAACUGCCUUCAAAACUCCCAGUCUAGAGUUCGAGAGAGGUGAGUGGAAUUCCGAGUGUAGAGGUGAAAUUCGUAGAUAUUCGGAAGAACACCAGUGGCGAAGGCGGCUCACUGGCUCGAUACUGACGCUGAGGUGCGAAAGUGUGGGGAGCAAACAGG
rnacentral:rRNA from 1 species